CUCGAUAGCUCAGUCGGUAGAGCACAACACUUUUAAUGUUGGGGUCCUGGGUUCGAGCCCCAGUCGGGUCACAA
rnacentral:tRNA from 1 species